GAUCAUGGCUCAGGACGAACGCUGGCGGCGUGCCUAACACAUGCAAGUCGAACGAAGCUUGACGAAUGAUUUCUUCGGAAUGAAAUCUGAUAUGACUGAGUGGCGGACGGGUGAGUAACGCGUGGGUAACCUGCCUUAUACAGGGGGAUAACAGUUAGAAAUGACUGCUAAUACCGCAUAAGCGCACAGAAUUGCAUGAUCUGGUGUGAAAAACUCCGGUGGUAUAAGA
rnacentral:rRNA from 1 species